rnacentral:rRNA from 1 species
CUCCUAUUGGAGGCAGCAGUGAGGAAUAUUGGUCAAUGGACGAGAGUCUGAACCAGCCAAGUAGCGUGAAGGAUGAAGGUUCUAUGGAUUGUAAACUUCUUUUAUACGGGAAUAAACGGAUCCACGUGUGGAUUUUUGCAUGUACCGUAUGAAUAAGGAUCGGCUAACUCCGUGCCAGCAGCCGCGGUAAUACGGAGGAUCCGAGCGUUAUCCGGAUUUAUUGGGUUUAAAGGGAGCGUAGAUGGGUUGUUAAGUCAGUUGUGAAAGUUUGCGGCUCAACCGUAAAAUUGCAAUUGAUACUGGCAGUCUUGAGUACAGUUGAGGUAGGCGGAAUUCGUGGUGUAGCGGUGAAAUGCUUAGAUAUCACGAAGAACUCCGAUUGCGAAGGCAGCUUACUAACCUGUAACUGACAUUGAUGCUCGAAAGUGUGGGUAUCAAACAGGAUUAGAUACCCUGGUAGUCCACACGGUAAACGAUGAAUACUCGCUGUAGGCGAUAUACAGUCUGCGGCCAAGCGAAAGCAUUAAGUAUUCCACCUGGGGAGUACGCCGGCAACGGUGAAACUCAAAGGAAUUGACGGGGGCCCGCACAAGCGGAGGAACAUGUGGUUUAAUUCGAUGAUACGCGAGGAACCUUACCCGGGCUUAAAUUGCAACCGAAUAUGGCGGAAACGCUAUAGCUAGCAAUAGCGGUUAUGAAGGUGCUGCAUGGUUGUCGUCAGCUCGUGCCGUGAGGUGUCGGCUUAAGUGCCAUAACGAGCGCAACCCUUGCCGAUAGUUACUAACAGGUUAUGCUGAGGACUCUGUCGGGACUGCCAUCGUAAGAUGUGAGGAAGGUGGGGAUGACGUCAAAUCAGCACGGCCCUUACGUCCGGGGCUACACACGUGUUACAAUGGGGGGUACAGAGGGCUGCUACCACGCAAGUGGAUGCCAAUCCCAAAAACCUCUCUCAGUUCGGAUUGAAGUCUGCAACCCGACUUCAUGAAGCUGGAUUCGCUAGUAAUCGCGCAUCAGCCACGGCGCGGUGAAUACGUUCCCGGGCCUUGUACACACCGC